CACGUAGGCACCAAGCGUUGUCCGGAUUUAUUGGGCGUAAAGAGCUCGUAGGCGGUUCAGUAAGUCGGGUGUGAAAACUCUGGGCUCAACCCAGAGACGCCACCCGAUACUGCUGUGACUUGAGUACGGUAGGGGAGUGGGGAAUUCCUGGUGUAGCGGUGAAAUGCGCAGAUAUCAGGAGGAACACCAGUGGCGAAGGCGCCACUCUGGGCCGUAACUGACGCUGAGACGCGAAAGCGUGGGGAGCGAACAGG
rnacentral:rRNA from 1 species